UUUCCUUUUCCCAUUCUGCUCCUCCUUUCCCCUCACCUCUCCCUUCUCCCACUAUUUCUAAAUGGGCCACACUAUUUUGCUGAAGAUGACCUCCAUCAAACUGGAGAACCUCGUUCACCUAGUUUUUCAACCUUGCCAGCUGAAUUUUCUUUUCCUUAAAGAGAACAACCAGGCCAAAUUCAUCCUGAUGCAUGAACCCUCAUGGAUCCUCAGAGGAAAAAAAAAGGAGCAGAAAAUAUAUAAAAACUGGACCAUAAAGAGGAGGGCUAUGGAAUCUGUUUUCUUCACUACAGGACCACCAGUGCAGUCACGACUUCCCAACACCUGCUUCCAGUUCUGCUAUGGAAGACUCAACACCUAAGCUGACUGAAGAUCCAUCUCAGAUCCCAUAGUUGUGCUGGGUGAUAAGCUAAAAAGUAGUAAUAUGUCCAACAAGUUAGAGAAGGGGAAGUCAGGCAAUAAAUUUGGGUGGUCUAGUGACACUAUUGACAAUGAACACUUGGGCCAUCGCUCAUCCAAAUGUUGUUUUGUUUAUGAAAAGCAACAUGCUUUUGGUGAAAGCUCCUCAGAAAGUGAAA